UACAGAGGGUGCGAGCGUUGUCCGGAAUCACUGGGCGUAAAGGGCGCGUAGGCGGUUUCUUAAGCGUGCGGUGAAAGCCCGGGGCUCAACCCCGGGUCGGCCGUGCGGACUGGGGGACUGGAGCACUGUAGAGGCAGAUGGAAUUCCGGGUGUAGCGGUGGAAUGCGUAGAGAUCCGGAAGAACACCGGUGGCGAAGGCGGUCUGCUGGGCAGUGGGUCGAAAGACUCUUCGUCUCACGACGAAGCUGACGCUGAUGCGCGAAAGCGUGGGGAGCAAACAGG
rnacentral:rRNA from 1 species